AACGCACAUUGCACUCUCUGGUAUUCCGGAGAGUAUGCUUGUUUGAGUAUCUGUAAACAUCUCAAAUCUCUCUGCGCUUGCGUAAAAGAGAAUUGGAUUUGAGCGAUCCCGACUCCUUCGUCAGAAAGAGGAGGGUCGCUUGAAAUGCAGGUGCAGCUGGACAUUCUUCUGAGCUAAAAGCAUAUCUAUUUAGUCCCGUCAAACGGAUUAUUACUUUUGCUUCAGCUAAUAUAAAGGUCGAAUGAACUACCAACGCUGAUUGCAGGAAAACUCGUUCUUAAUCGAACUUGUAAACUCGAUCUCAAAUCAAGUAAGACUACCCGCUGAACUUAA
rnacentral:misc_RNA from 1 species